UAGGUAGUUUAACCUUCGGGGGGACGCUUACCACUUUGUGGUUCAUGACUGGGGUGAAGUCGUAACAAGGUAGCGCUAGGGGAACCUGGCGCUGGAUCACCUCCUUAAACGAUGAU
rnacentral:rRNA from 1 species